GUCAACUCUCUCCGUCCCCGCUUCCAUCCCCUCCCCGGCCGACGACGCCGAGCAGCUUCACAAGGCAUUCUCCGGCUGGGGAACCAACGAAGGCCUCAUCAUCUCGAUCCUCUCCCACCGCAACGCCGCCCAGCGCCGCCACAUCCGCCGCGCCUACGCCGAGGCCUACAACGGCGAGGAUCUCCUCAAAUGCCUCGACAAGGAGCUCACCCGCCACUUCGAGAACGCGGUGCUGCUGUGGACGCUGGAUCCGGCGGAGAGGGAUGCCCAGCUGGCGAGUGAGGCUGCGAAGAAGUCGAAUCAUCUGGCUCUGAUUGAGAUUGGCUGUGGGAGGUCGGCGGCAGAGUUGCUGGCUGCGAGGGCUGAGUAUCAUCAGCGGUUUAAGAGGUCUUUGGAGGAGGAUGUGGCUGCUCAUACUAAGGGAGAUUUCCGCAAGCUUCUUGUACCACUUGUGACUGUGUACCGAUAUGAGGGGGAAGAAAUCAACGCAACACUGGCAAAAUCAGAGGCAAAGCUACUCCAUGAAAAGAUAUCGAAGAAGGCCUACAAUGACGAAGAGCUCAUUAGGAUCCUCACUACCAGGAGCAAAGCACAGCUCCGUGCAACAUUCAAUGACUACAAUAAUGCUUUUGGAAAUACAAUCAGCAAGGAUUUGCACGCCGAUCCGAAGGACGAGUUCCUCUCUGCACUGAGAGCAGUCAUAAAAUGUCUCCUCUUCCCCGAGAAGUAUUUCGAGAAGGUUAUUCGUCUUGCAAUCAACAAGAUGGGAACUGACGAGGGUGCGCUUACUCGGGUUGUGACAACCCGCACGGAGGUCGAUAUGAAAGCGAUCAAGGAUCUUUACUUCAAGAGGAACAACGUGCCUCUCGACCAUGCCAUUAAGAAGGAUACGAAGGGAGAUUAUGAGGACUUCCUUCUUGCGUUGAUUGGCCAUGAGGAGGCUUGAGAUAUCUCGACUGUGACCCUGAUGCUGGUUAGUUUGUUUCUCUUCUGUGCUCGGUGAGUAAUAAAAUAAUGGCGUUGUGGUGUUUUCCCUGUACGCCUUUUCGCAUGUUGAGGUUUCUGCUAUGAUUGAACAUAUGGUUUCUCAGUUUGGGACUUUAGUUUUCUGCGAUCAUAAAUAUGAGUG
rnacentral:misc_RNA from 1 species